UCUAGGGUUUCAGUGGAUUGAGUGAGGGGAGAAGGCGAGAUGAUGAUCGAUUUUUCUCUUUUUUUCCCUUUUCUAUUUGUAAUCGGGCCGAUGGGCUGGGUGGGGUGGGUUGAGUAGAGUAACCUUUUAUUUUUCAUUGGAUUGAGCUUUAUAUUUAGGCCUUAAUAAUUUUUUAAAAAAGUUUUGGCAUAAAUGGAAUACUUACACAAAAGUAUCCUAAAAAUGUGUCCCUAUAACCUAAUUCUGUUGUAGUGAUCGUCCAUUUGCUAUCAAUAGUAUUUGCCCACAUUUGUUACCAAUUUUUUAACUCUUGGAUAAGAAAUUAUAUGUUUAGAAUGAUAUUAGUUCCUUAGGGUUGAGUGGUCCUCUUAGGGUUGAGUGGUCCCUAUUAGAUUAUAAUAUUUAAUCCAAUUGUUAAAAAUGAUUGAAGAAAUUGAUCCAAAUGCUAAAAAUUUGAUAGCAAAAGGAAUGUAUAUAUAUAUAUAUAUAUAUAUUGAGGGUUCGGCUACUAUACUAUUAUGAGUACGAUCGCCCUCGUACUCAGAAGUUGUUUUCGAUGAUAGAGCUUCCAAAUCGACGAUCUACACCGUUAAACGUUAUUUACAGCAUUUAAAACUUCUAGAAAUUAAAUUUUAUAAUUUUUCGACAUCUACCUUACGAUCAAGAGGUCACAAAUUUGACAAUUUUUAAAAGCUGGUAUGGAAUACUUGUUAGUUUAACGAUGUAAAAGAAUCAAAGUUUAUUGAAUUUUUGAUAGAAAAUUCUAUUCACUACAUUAAUAAAGAUCAAUAACUCAAAUCUUAAAUUGAAGGAUCCGAUCAUCCUUUUUUAGGAUGUUAUUCGAUUUUGACCGUUCAUUUUAUGCCUACUUGAUGGACUUUAUUAUAAUUUCGAAAAUUUACAAAAUUUAUUUUCUAGAAGUUUCAAAUAUUUUAGAUUAUAUUUAACGGAGUGGAUCGUCGAUUCGGAAGCUCUAUCAUUAAAAAUAAUUUAUAAAUACGAGUGCUCCAAUACUCAUAAUAGUAUAGUAGUCAUGGCCUAUAUAUUGAAAUAUCAAUAAAAAGAAAAACCAAAGUGGAGGGG
rnacentral:lncRNA from 1 species